ACUCCUACGGGAGGCAGCAGUGGGGAAUAUUGCACAAUGGGGAAACCCUGAUGCAGCCAUGCCGCGUGUGUGAAGAAGGCCUUCGGUUGUAAAGCACUUCAGUAGGGAGGAAGGUAGUGUAGUUAACACCUGCAUUAUUUGACGUUACCUACAGAAGAAGCACCGGCUAACUCCGUGCCAGCAGCCGCGGUAAUACGGAGGGGUGCGAGCGUUAAUCGGAAUUACUGGGCGUAAAGCGCAUGCAGGCGGCCUGUUAAGUCAGAUGUGAAAGCCCGGGGGCUUAACCUCGGAAUUGCAUUUGAAACUGGCAGGCUAGAGUCUUGUAGAGGGGGUAGGAAUUUCAGGUGUAGCGGUGAAAUGCGUAGAGAUCUGAAGGAAUACCAGUGGCGAAGGCGGCCCCCUGGACAAAGACUGACGCUCAGAUGCGAAAGCGUGGGGA
rnacentral:rRNA from 1 species